rnacentral:rRNA from 1 species
AGUGAACGCUGGCGGUAGGCCUAACACAUACAAGUCGAACGGCAGCACAGAGGAGCUUGCUCCUUGGGUGGCGAGUGGCGGACGGGUGAGGAAUACAUCGGAAUCUACUCUGUCGUGGGGGAUAACGUAGGGAAACUUACGCUAAUACCGCAUACGACCUACGGGUGAAAGCAGGGGACCUUCGGGCCUUGCGCGAUUGAAUGAACCGAUGUCGGAUUAGCUAGUUGGCGGGGUAAAGGCCCACCAAGGCGACGAUCCGUAGCUGGUCUGAGAGGAUGAUCAGCCACACUGGAACUGAGACACGGUCCAGACUCCUACGGGAGGCAGCAGUGGGGAAUAUUGGACAAUGGGCGCAAGCCUGAUCCAGCCAUACCGCGUGGGUGAAGAAGGCCUUCGGGUUGUAAAGCCCUUUUGUUGGGAAAGAAAUCCAGCUGGUUAAUACCCGGUUGGGAUGACGGUACCCAAAGAAUAAGCACCGGCUAACUUCGUGCCAGCCGCCGCGGUAA